rnacentral:rRNA from 1 species
AGNCGAACGGUAACAGGUCUUCGGAUGCUGACGAGUGGCGAACGGGUGAGUAAUACAUCGGAACGUGCCCGAUCGUGGGGGAUAACGAGGCGAAAGCUUUGCUAAUACCGCAUACGAUCUACGGAUGAAAGCGGGGGAUCUUCGGACCUCGCGCGGACGGAGCGGCCGAUGGCAGAUUAGGUAGUUGGUGGGAUAAAAGCUUACCAAGCCGACGAUCUGUAGCUGGUCUGAGAGGAUGAUCAGCCACACUGGGACUGAGACACGGCCCAGACUCCUACGGGAGGCAGCAGUGGGGAAUUUUGGACAAUGGGCGAAAGCCUGAUCCAGCCAUGCCGCGUGCAGGAUGAAGGCCUUCGGGUUGUAAACUGCUUUUGUACGGAACGAAAAGCCUCUUUCUAAUAAAGAGGGGUCAUGACGGUACCGUAAGAAUAAGCACCGGCUAACUACGUGCCAGCAGCCGCGGUAAUACGUAGGGUGCAAGCGUUAA